rnacentral:tRNA from 1 species
ACCUUGCUAGCUCAAUCUAUAGAGCAUGAGACUCUUAAUCUCAAGGUUGGGUGUUCAAGCCCCCUCUAGGGCU